rnacentral:rRNA from 1 species
UGAACGCUAGCGGCAGGCUUAAUACAUGCAACCCGUGGGGCAGCAGGGCGGUAGCAAUACCGUUGCUGGCGACCGGCAAACGGGUGCGGAACACGUACACAACCUUCCUUUAAGUGGGGAAUAGCCCAGAGAAAUUUGGAUUAAUACCCCGUAACAUUAUUAGAUGGCAUCAUUUGAUAAUUAAAGCUCCGGCGCUUGAAGAUGGGUGUGCGUCUGAUUAGGUAGUUGGUAGGGGUAACGGCCCACCAAGCCGACGAUCAGUAACUGGUGUGAGAGCACGACCAGUCACACGGGCACUGAGACACGGGCCCGACUCCUACGGGAGGCAGCACUAAGGAAUAUUGGUCAAUGGACGCAACUCUGAACCAACCAUGCCGCGUGGAGGAUGAAUGUCCUCUGGAUUGUAAACUUCUUUUAUCUGGGAAAAACCCAUCUUUUCUAGGGGGGGUGACGGUAACCAAUGAAUAAC